rnacentral:rRNA from 1 species
CGCGUGCUUACACAUGCAGUCGAACGAUGAAAGCAGGAGCUUGCUUUUGCUGGAUUAGUGGCGAACGGGUGAGUAACACGUGAGUAACCUGCCCUUGACUCUGGGAUAAGCGUUGGAAACGACGUCUAAUACCGGAUACGAGCUAGGACCGCAUGGUCACUAGCUGGAAAGAAUUUCGGUCAAGGAUGGACUCGCGGCCUAUCAGCUAGUUGGUGAGGUAACGGCCCACCAAGGCGACGACGGGUAGCCGGCCUGAGAGGGUGACCGGCCACACUGGGACUGAGACACGGCCCAGACUCCUACGGGAGGCAGCAGUGGGGAAUAUUGCACAAUGGGCGCAAGCCUGAUGCAGCAACGCCGCGUGAGGGACGACGGCCUUCGGGUUGUAAACCUCUUUUAGCAGGGAAGAAGCGAAAGUGACGGUACCUGCAGAAAAAGCACCGGCUAACUACGUGCCAGCAGCCGCGGUAAUACGUAGGGUGCAAGCGUUGUCCGGAAUUAUUGGGCGUAAAGAGCUCGUAGGCGGUUUGUCGCGUCUGCUGUGAAAAUCCGAGGCUCAACCUCGGACCUGCAGUGGGUACGGGCAAACUAGAGUGCGGUAGGGGAGAUUGGAAUUCCUGGUGUAGCGGUGGAAUGCGCAGAUAUCAGGAGGAACACCAAUGGCGAAGGCAGAUCUCUGGGCCGUAACUGACGCUGAGGAGCGAAAGCGUGGGGAGCGAACAGGAUUAGAUACCCUGGUAGUCCACGCCGUAAACGGUGGGAACUAGAUGUGGGGUCCGUUCC